AAUCUGUCCAAGCUGAUGACCAACUUAAGAAGCACUCAUCCUCACUUUGUCCGUUGCCUGAUUCCCAAUGAGACAAAGACCCCAGGUCUUAUGGAGAACUUCCUGGUCAUCCACCAGCUGAGGUGUAACGGUGUACUGGAGGGCAUCAGAAUCUGCAGGAAGGGUUUCCCCAGCAGAAUCCUCUAUGGUGACUUCAAGCAGAGAUACAAAGUGUUGAAUGCCAGUGUCAUCCCUGAGUGACAGUUCAUUGACAACAAGAAAGCUUCAGAGAAGCUGCUUGGCUCCAUUGAUGUGGAUCACACACAAUACAUGUUUGGGCACACAAAGGUGUUCUUCAAAGCUGGUCUGCUGGGCACUCUUGAGGAGAUGAGAGAUGAGAAACUGGCUGAGCUGGUGACCAUGACUCAGGCUCUCUGCAGAGGAUACGUCA